GUAUUUAUUUUGUUUAUUAUUACGUUAAUAAGUUUGAUCUCGUGUUUUUUAUAGUAAAAAUAAUUUCCGUUCCUUCAUUUUUGUUAAAAAGUUACGUAAAAAUAAAUAUUUGAUGGUAAUCCAAUCUUAAUAGCAGGAUAAAUUCGAUUAACUUUAUUUCCAUGCUUCGUGUACUUAUGUCUCGUGUUCUCAGUCAUCUCUGUAUACUAAACGUAAAACAAAACACACAGACGCCCAUGCCUCAUGCUUAUUAAGGGAUGGUGAAACUGAAGAUAGUAAAUUGAUAGUGAACAAUCUGCAAGGGAGAGUUGUAAUUGACUUUCUAAUUGAAGGCAUUGCAAGAAUCUCAUGAUUAGAGGAAGUUCUCGUGUAUUGAUGUUCAGAUUCGUGGAAACAGCGUCAAAAAGAUUGGAGUUUUUUCCAGAGGAACCCGGCUCGUCAACUCCAAGAAUUUGGCUCUUGUUUACCUGGCGUCAUCUUCCGAAGCAACUCAUAUCAGUGGAUCUUCUUUCGGGAGAUUUUAAUAUCGAACAGUUACUAAAAUCACGAUUGUGGCAAUGCCCUUUCUGGCUACACGAGACUAAAACAAGCUGGAAUCAGUCCUAUUGCACAUAUGUAGAAGAAGUCGCGCCUUAGAGGGUCGUAAAAAACCAAGAGAAAGUUUGAACGGAUAAUGAUUUUUCAAAAAAAUUUACUUUAUUGCACCUGUGAAAUUGCACUGUGGCCAUGAGAGAGAAAAAAAACGAUUUUCACUUUCUCGGUAGCAUAUUUUUCGAAUAAAGCUUUUUAUAUGCCUUCUCAAUAA